CUGGGGUCUGAUUGGAAGAAACAAGAGAUCGACAGAAAUGGGAAACGUGACAGAAUGUCCGAACGAUGCACAGCUGAAUUAACGGGUUCGAAUUCUUGGCACAGCUCGAAAACGUAGGCACGUAGUCACGUACGGUUGGGAAUCACUGCACCAGAGUUCUCUCGAGCUCGUGUCGGAAUAUAUGUAGCUACGUGUAUAGAUAAACACAUGGAGAGAGAAGUGGAGACGAUACAUGCAUCCGUGCUUCAGAAUGCACACAUGUCCAGGUGUGUGUACAUAUAUGUAUGUGUGAGUAGCUAAGUGCACGUUGUGCGCGGUUCUAAGAAAAGAAAGAGGGUAAACAGAGACGAGGAGACGGGGCGGGACAAAAAAAAUCUCGUCGUCGAUAAAUUCGCUAGAAUCUCCGACGAAAGGUAGAAGAGGGUGCAAGAAAAGAGGGAGGAGUGAACAAGCUGCGAGUAUCACGUUGAUUAUCUGUACUCUUGGAAGUGCGUACUCUCGUGCACCGAUGUUAUAUGUACGGUGUGAAACGGAGUGGUGCAUUGUAAUGAAACACGGAAGAAAGUUAAGGGCCCAUCGAUCGUUUAAGCCCUCCGCGCGCUUGCUCGAAUACACGAGCCAGUUAGAAGAAAAAACCCGACAACAUGGACAAAUUCUCGCAUUAAUCCUUACCCAACGGACAAAAUUACCGAACAAUAUCGUUUAACGGUAGCGGCUGGUAUCUAUGGUAUCAAAGAACAACGUUCAAAAGAUGAGGUUCACAGUCAAUGUGCUGGGUCAACGUUCAGGUUCGUACGAAUACAGGUGAAAAAGCGGCUACAAUCGAUCUCCUUCUUUCUGCCUUCGUUGUUUCGUUAUUUCAGAGAGAAAGAGACAUAUCUUCUCUAGAUACGGGACAUAGGAUGAAGAGAGAUCUGACCUUGUCCAGUGAAUUAAACGACAUCGCGAAUACCUCCACGAAGAAUAGAUGUCGGUGUCUUUUUUAAUUAAAAUUCCUUCGUUAUACGUUGAACGUGGAGAAGCGAAGGAGAGAAAGGAGAGGAGGAGAAGAUAGCAGGAAAGGAAAAGGGACUGCUAGGAAGAUGAGAAGGAGCGGUUGUAUGCGAGAGAGAGCUUUUAAUUAACUAUCGGCGCGAAUGUUUGUUACCGUUUGAAGGAGAACCCGGCUAUACCAAGGAGGGAAAACCGUGAAACGAGAACCUAGACUUCGUUCUUCGACCAUUAUGGAACCACGUUUCAACGCUUAUACCUGGAUACGCGAGGAAAUAAGCCAAGACUAUGGCGAAAGUUGAAACAUCAUAAACUAUAGGACACGCUAAACCCAAGACUCCGGAGCUAACACCGAGGCACAAGGGAGGUAUUUCAACGGUGUUAUUAUUGGCUUUCGGCCCUGCACACACGUGACUCUUCGCUGCUGCCAGAAAAUCGAGAAAAGCCACUAAACUACGGAAACGAACAGGGUAAAAAGGAGGGAGAGACCUUUCGAGAAGUCCCUCGGAUACCUCGUUACUGACCUUUAAACGCGCGUUACGCUAUCACGGUACACCAUCGUCAAUCGAACACGCACAUCGUCAUAAGGAUCACAGGUAUCACGAGCGAGAUCGAGCGUGAACAAUUUGGACGAGCGUUGAUUCGACGAGACGGGCACGAACGUGCUGGUCACGUCACGUCUAUAAGCAUCGCCGCGACCGCGAGCUUCGCCGAGACUGUUGUCCUCCUUGUUCAUGCCAGAAGCGCUGGCUUUCGCCGUUUGCCUCUGCCUCUACUACUGCUGCUACCGCUGCCAUUCACCACCAUGAUCUCGCACGAUUCGUCGCUCGUUUCAUCUUCUCCCUCGACCUCCUACUGUCGUUCCUAUCGCUACUACUAGCGUUACGCUUGAUCCCGUUGCUGCAGCAGGCGACCGACUCUAGCGAACAGCCGUAUCGCAUAGCGAAACGUACGGACACUCGAAACUAGCAUAUACGCGGUUCCUAAUAAAUCACUACUCGGCUUAUACGUCCCUCGCGGGUACACUGUAAAAAUGGUAGGAAAUUGUUUCUUUUUUUCUUUUUUUUUCUUUUUUAUUUUUUUCAAUAACACACAAUGGCACCACGUAAGUUUGUCCGGAAGUUUCUCGCGGUAGGAAGACGGCCACUGUCACGGGGACUUGCCACUAUCGUGGAAGAGACGGUGGUAAUACGGUUAGCAUCGGGAAGAGUUUCUCGCGCACAGGGGUGGUUGUCAACAGCGCCCGAGGUAGGCAACCGGACUGACUCGCGCUGCACGGUGUCGGCGACAGACAGCGCGACCACCGAGGAGACAGAGAUCGACGGUCGAUUCGGCUGCACGCAAAGGAGAUGAAACGAGAGAGAAAAUCCGCGAGAGGCGACGGUGGCGGCCACCGAGGUAGAUCGUAUGCGAGAGAAAGGGUGGUGUAUGGUGGGGAGAAGGCUCGAUGGGGGUGGUCGAGGAUGGUAGGGGUGGAAGCUGGGAAGGGGAAACGUGGCUUUGAGAGGAAAGGCAGCAGUGGUGGAAAAUCUGUGGUCGCGGAUGUGGCGAGGGGUAAGAAGGGUGUACGAGUAGCAAGAAAGAAAAGGGACAGUGGUGGAAGGAAGAAAGUUGGAUAGGAAAGUGGGAUGUAUAGUGACCGGAGAAGGAGAAGAGUGCGAGAGGGAGAAGGUUGGAAAUCUGUAAGAGUACACGGGUUGAAAGGUGGGAGGGUAAUGUUGUAAGUAGAAUUGGGAGAGAUUGGUCAGAAAAUAGGAAAAAAGCACGAGUGUGAAAGAAACAAAACGAUAAAACAAAAUGGUAGCGAGAAACAUCGGUGAGGAGAAGAGAGAGAAGUACGAAAGGGGAAGGUAAUAAAAGGAGGCUGCCAGGCAUGGAUUCGAGCGAGAAGGAAAUAACUAGAAUACCUCAGAAGAUACAAGGAAUGCGAGGGAUGAGUGAAAGAAUGGAUAACGAAGAGGGAAGAAGGUUAACGCAAGUUCGAGAGAAAAGAGGUAAUUUGAGAAAUCUGUGAAAGAAAGACAGGAAGAAGGCCGAUAGCUAUAGGGAUAGAAUAGGAUAGAAAGUAAUGCUUCGAUGCUAGAAGGAGGAACAAUAAUUGUGAGAGAGAUAAAAGCGGUGCAUGGAAGGAAGCAGAGAAGUGUGUUGAUGAAAGGAGGGGAAACGAGGAGAAAAGGAGGGGUAACGUAUGUAGGAGAGAAUUUGAAAAGAGAAAGUUGUACGAGAUAGAAAGACGACAACGAAGAAAGUGUAGUAAGAGGGAGAAGAAAUGCAUGGAAGAGGGGAGGGGUUGUAGUGGCUGUCCGUGAAAAGCUGCGAAAGCUGACAAAGAUAACUUUACGAAAAGUGGAGCAAGAAAAAUAAACCGUACGAUAAGAGAAAAACGAAAGUACAUAUGUACUUCGAUAUGGAGGAUGCACGAAAAUAAUAAGCAGCGGGAACAAAGAUGAUUAAGAGAACCAGAUAGAAUGGAAAAUGGAAGAAUGUUAAAAGGAGAAAAUGUUUAUAAAAGAUGAACACGGAAAAUAAUCGUAAACGAGAAUAAAGCACGAUGGUAGAACGCAUGCCGGUACAAGCCGAGAAAGUUGCGGCGGGGUCGGACGAAAUAUCGCCAACGCCUUGAUCAGCCUUGGUCUGAAUGCUACGCGGUUAAUAUCUGUCGCUGGUAACGACCAGCCUGGGAAAGCUAUAAUUAAAAGUCUAGGAGAUGGUGGCCAGACCGUCGACCAGUUGUCAAAUAUGAAUACAGUUAGAUACGUGUUACCAUCCUUCGCUAAUUUUGCGCGAAUGUUAGAUCAUCGACUUUUAUAUAUAACUAAAUU